GCAUAUCAUAGCGGAGGAAAAGAAACUAACAAGGAUUCCCCUAGUAACUGCGAGUGAAGCGGGAAAAGCUCAAAUUUAAAAUCUGGCGGUCCCUGUGGCCGUCCGAGUUGUAAUUUAGAGAAGUGUUAUCCGUGCUGGACCGUGUACAAGUCUCCUGGAAUGGAGCGUCAUAGAGGGUGAGAAUCCCGUCUUUGACACGGACUGCCAGUGCAUUGUGAUGCGCUCUCAAAGAGUCGAGUUGUUUGGGAAUGCAGCUCAAAAUGGGUGGUAAAUUCCAUCUAAAGCUAAAUAUUGAGGAGAGACCGAUAGCGAACAAGUACCGUGAGGGAAAGAUGAAAAGAACUUUGGAAAGAGAGUUAAACAGUACGUGAAAUUGCUGAAAGGGAAACGCUUGAAGUCAGUCGCGCCGUUCAGGACUCAGCCUUGCUUUGCUUGGUGUACUUCCUGUUUGGUGGGUCAGCAUCAAUUUUGGUCGGUGGAUAAAGGCUUAGAGAAUGUGGCAUCUUCGGGUGUGUUAUAGCUCUGGGUCGCAUACAUCGGCUGGGAUUGAGGAACUCAGCACGCCGCAAGGCCGGGGACUUGUCCCACGUACGUGCUUAGGAUGCUGGCAUAAUGGCUUUAAUCGACCCGUCUUGAAACACGGACCAAGGAGUCUAACAUGCCUGCGAGUGUUUGGGUGGAAAACUCGAGCGCGUAAUGAAAGUGAAAGUUGAGAUCCCUGUCGUGGGGAGCAUCGACGCCCGGAGCAGACCUUUUGUGACGCAUCCGCGGUAGAGCAUGUAUGUUGGGACCCGAAAGAUGGUGAACUAUGCCUGAAUAGGGUGAAGCCAGAGGAAACUCUGGUGGAGGCUCGUAGCGAUUCUGACGUGCAAAUCGAUCGUCGAAUUUGGGUAUAGGGCGAAAGACUAAUCGAACCAUCUAGUAGCUGGGUUCUGCGAG
rnacentral:rRNA from 1 species